GAUGAACGCUAGCUACAGGCUUAACACAUGCAAGUCGAGGGACUGGCGCACGGGCGAGUAACACGUCUCCAACCUGCCCUUUACUCGGUGCUAGCCUUUCGAAAGAAAGAUUAAUACCCGAUAUAAAGGAUGGGGAUGCGUUCCAUUAGGUUGUUGGUAAGGUAACGGCUCACCAAGCCUUCGAUGGGUCGGGAUUCUGAGAGGCAGGUCCCCCACAGUGGAACUGAGACACGAGCCAAACUGCUACGUGAGGCAUCAGUGAGGAAUAUUGGGCAAUGAGCGCUAGCCUGAACCAGCCAAGUAGCGUGAAGGAUGAAUGAUUAUGGGUCGUAAACUUCUUUUAAGUAAGAAUAUGUAUUAUAUGAAUAAGGAUCGGCUAACUCCGUGCCAGCAGCCGCGGUAAUUC
rnacentral:rRNA from 1 species